GGUCAGGUAGCCUAGCUAGCGGUUAAGGCAGCCCAUGCGUGUUGGGUCCAGAUCCAUUGGAGCUGGUCGCUGGUUCAAAUCCAGCCUUGACCA
rnacentral:tRNA from 1 species